CGCACCUUGCGCUCCUUGGUAUUCCGAGGAGCAUGCCUGUUUGAGUGUCAUGGUAUUCUCAACUCUGACUUGUUUCUGACACGUCUGAGUUGGAUGUGGAGGUUUUGCUGGUGCUUGCCACCGGCUCCUCUGAAAUGUAUUAGUGUGGACGCUUCCCCAAGUGAGCCCUCAGUGUGAUAAUUGUCUACGCUGUGGGUGUGGGGUUUAUGCAAAGUCUGUGCUUCGAACUGUCUUCUAUGGAGACAACCUUUGACAUCUGACCUCAAAUCAGGUAGGACUACCCGCUGAACUUAA
rnacentral:misc_RNA from 1 species